UGCAAUGCAAACAACUCCAGUGAUUAUUGAGAGUAGCGGACGAGCGAGCAGCGGUGCCUAUUUUGCGGUCGAAGACCAAAUAUUCGAUUUUAGCAUUCAGAUCCUUCCGAAUUUUACAAACUGCUACUUUGGCCCGAAGCUCAUAUGUAUGGCCAACUGCGCUAAAAAUCCUCCUCCAGGGCUAUGAAUACUACCAUUUUAU
rnacentral:lncRNA from 1 species